rnacentral:lncRNA from 1 species
UGCUUCUUACUCAUGUUAAAAGACAAAUUUUGUCUGAGGAAAUCACAAAGAUUUUUUUUUAAUGUUAACCAUCACUGUGUAAUGAGCUUAGUGCCUGUUAGGGAAAUCUUUGUUUCUUGUGACAACAUCACUGUGGGAAGACUACAGGAUGUAAUACAAUUGUGGACUAAUUUAGUAUUGCAAAUCCUGUGUUCCUGAAGAGGACAAAUGGCCACUUAUUUUAACAGGAAACAGAAAACUAGUCAGAAAUAGACCUUGAAAUGAAGUUUCUUACACUUUUAUGGGUAUUUGAGAAUUUGAUUCUUCAGCAUUUCCAUGGCAGUUUCAGAGUUCUUCAGCUCAAUGGAGCAAAACAGAGCAAUUCAUGGAGGAGACUGAUAAGAAGAACUUCAACUACAAGCUGUGAGCUCACCACAUGGGAGAGACUGAGAAUAAAGAUCCGUGUGCUGCUGACUGAUCGCUCAAUGUCUGUGAGUCACCAGCUGGCCCUCCCUGGGACAAAGCCAAGCAAGUAUGUGGCAGAGAUAUUCCCCACAGGGAAAAAGAACUGAUUCUGGUUCCCCCAGUUUUAAGAAAGAAGAAUUCAGCCAGUUAGAAGUGCAAGGAAGUCGGUUAGUGCAAUGAGGAGAGUAAAGAAGGGAAAAAAUAUUAAAAAAUACGGACAAAGACUAGGGAGAUGAAAGGGGAAAUUACUGUUCUGGUUGUAUCAGGAGGGCUGGUAAGGGAGAUCUUUUUGAUGUAAAGGACAGUGUUUUCUAAAGAAGGUGUGCACUGAGAGUCACUCAGACUAAACUUAGUCAGAAAUUAGAGAAAGUUCACACAUUAAAACAAGACACUGGUACAGCUUUUCAGCACAAAUACUGGUGGGGAAAGCUUUAGCAGUUAUAAAACAGAAACUUGAUCCACUUAUCAAAAGGCUGAUAUCAAAAGUAUCUGUGCUGACCCAGGAAGUGUAUUCCUCUCCUACUCAUUUUUUUAUCCUUCUAAAUUGAGCCUACAUAUGUGUCAGCUGUUCACUCUCCUGGCAUUUUAGGAUUGGUUUCCAUGCUUUUCUUAUCUGCUUUUUCUUUUUUUUUUUUUUUUUAAGUCAAGCCUUUUACAUUUGGCAUACUGAUCCUGUUCCAUUUGGGAAAUAAAG